UUAACCCUACUGUGUUCGUGAUGCUGUGCUCGGGUUUUGGGCCAACACCCACAAAAAGGGUUCCAAGCUCACAAAUGUGACGCGAUAGGCGGAAGCCAAGGCGGAUCAUUUGGGGAGGAACCCACCUGCGAAGGCAGGUUCAAAACUUCGCAGCACACGGCACGGUGGGGUUAUU
rnacentral:other from 1 species